rnacentral:lncRNA from 1 species
GAAGAAGGGGUAGAAAUGUUGUAUACAUGCCAAGUUCAUUUAAGCUAUCAGGGAAUCAGCCCCUAGGGCAAUAACGGCUUUCUUCACCAUUGCAGUUAGUGAAGAAAGGAUUGUCAAUACUUUGUUCACAGUGUUGUUUAGAAGAAGAGGAUGUAAAAAACCUUGUUGCUUUGCAAUAUUGAUAGGAGAUGGCUUUUUGAUGGUCAUUCUCACAAACAGUGUCAAAUUGUGAGGGCAAAAUAAUUCUCCUGACAAUGAUAGAAAUUAGUAGGAAAAAUAUCAUUUAUAACUAGAAGAGUUAUAGCAUAGGAAACACAUCCUUUAUAACUAGAAGAGUUAUAGUAUAUAAAAACUCUCUCCCAAGUCUAUUUGAAGAUUCAUCAUUUGUCUCCGAUGGAAUAACCAACUAUAAAUUACAUGGGAUAUGAGAUAAUGGGGAUAUAACUAUUAGAGCAUAGUUAAAAAAUAGUGGAAUCAAAUCCAAAGAUAGUGAGGAUCAAAUGCAGUUAUAUUGUUGUAGUUAUCCUCUUAGUACUCAGAUAUAUUGCACUUUUUGUCUUUUGCCUUGUUGGACUCUUGGUUUCCUUGGACUCACAUUUUGCAAAGUUAUGUAUACAACAUUGAUUUCAAUUUUAUAAAAAAGUCAUUAAUAAAAAAGCCCCCCCUUCACUUGCUAAUGAUGGUCAGAUAUGAAUUACCACCAGACUAGAGCUCAUAUGCAGUGAGUAGUGCAAUUAUUUGUUCUCCCUUGUGCCAGCCUUGUUCCCACAUGUUUACUUAGAAAUUGAUGAAACCUCUCUAAUGCUUAUGUGAAUGUCUCACAUUGCCGAUGCUUUGUAAUUUCACUGCAGGAGAACAGAAAAUGAAUAAACUUCUAGCUAUCAAAUUGACUAGGUAUGCUUCAUGUUGAUUAAUUUUAUCCCUGGAAAUUGAAUUCUAAUACCUGUAGCAAGAUAUUUUGGAACCUUUAACUAGGGCCCUCUGAUCACUGAUAUUGUAUCUUGCAACUUCAAUCGAUUAAAACCUGAGUUCAUAAAAGAGGCUUGGAUUUGGCAACUUCGGUUGAGUUGGGUUUUAGACAAAUGAACUUCAUGUUUAGAUUGAGCUUGGAUUGAUUUUCAAUCUGAUAUGACCCACCAGAAUUGCACCCUAAAUUUUAUGCCAUCUUAUUAGUAGAGUUGUUAUUGAUUUCCUUAAAUCAGUUCCAACUUUUUCUAUCAACUGAUAAACGAAUUGAUCAAGAAUGCCUAUCAUAAAAAAAAAAAAAAAAACAACGAAUUAGAUGCUAAUGGUUCCCUAUUCUUACAGUAUUUUAUAUUGGUGUAACUAAUCCAUUAAUAUGUAGUACAACAUAAUAUAUUUAAACUAUUGAACAUGGGAACCUGUCUCAGGUUUUGAGUAACUGGCAAUGUUCAUAGUUUUUGGAAUCUGCUCACAAAUAUACCAGAUAAUAGGAGGAUCUACUGUGUCCCAUAGAGUGCUACUAGCCUACCACAGUAUUCUUUAUCAGUUUUUUAUAUAAAUAAGAUAUUCAACUGCCAGGAUUAAUACAUCUCAAUGGUUAGAAUUUUCACUUAAUCAUUAUACUAAAUUUCUGUUUAUGUUGCUUUGCUUUCAAUCAAAAAGUGGUGUGCUAAGUUUGCUUAUUAUCAUAUUAUCAUUUGAGCUCUCUCUCUCCCUGUACCCCGUUUCUCAUUUAUUGGGAUGUGAGAGAACAAUUUUGUUGACUUCUGGUCAAAUCUGAGUGAUAUUAACAUUCUGAUUCCAGUGUUCUUUAGCUUUCAGCAUCAUUCUGCUGGAAAUUAUAGUUGAUAUAAAGUUGUUUAUUGUCUAAUUGUUUGACCUGUUCUGUUCUCAAAUCGGAGAGGCUUGCUAAUCCGGGAUUUGCAAUUCCACUAGUUUUUUUUUUUUUUUUUUGUGUUUAUGAUCAAACGAGCUAAUACAUUAAUCUAAUUCCAAUUAAUUUACUUGAGUGAUACUAGUUGUUUCAACAUGCAAUACACGAUAAGUUUUUGGUAAAAAAUCUUUAGUUUUUGUUGACUUUAUUGCAUAGGUCUUAUUUGGUAGAUUUCUUUGUACUUUUAAGAUAAUAACUAUUAUUUUUUCUUUUAUUUGCAGUGAACAAAAAGGUUUCAGCUAACAAAUUGAAACAACAGGCGGUCAAGGCUUCCUACAAACAUGAAAGGCAAAAAUAUGUUGAAACUUCUCAAUCAAUACCUUCUUAUUCUUGCCCAAAUGGGGGUAUUAUUUCUUCUCAUUAUUUUCCUUGUUAAUUUGGUUACAAUUGAAGUGCAUUGCAUUAGCAUUGAGUCCAUAGUUUUGAUUCUUAUUCCAUUGGUUUUGAACUUUGAAGUUUAUUUAGACAGUGUAACUUGUCCAAAAGAAAAACAGUGGAAAGUUCAAAAUUCUGAACCAUGUUUACUUCAUCCUGGAGAUCCACCUGGAAGACUAAUUUUCACCCAAAUGAUUAGAUGUUGUCAAAUAUUAUUUGACUAUGUGGCUUAUUUCUACAGGUGCAGCCUUAUAAACUGUGGAUUGAAAUGGAAAAUAUUGAGAAAGGGAUUGUAGAAAUCAUUGCUCAGAAUAAUAUAAAAUGGCUUGUUAUGGGAGCUGCAGCAGAUAAAUAUUAUUCAAAGUAUUAACCAUCUAUUACAAGUUCUUAUUGUUGACUGCAUUGAUUUAUUUGAUAUUGUUGUAGAAUUACUCGAGGCUUCCACCUUAGGCAUUUGGGAUAAAAGUUUUGUUGAAUUUAGUGGAAUUUCUUGAAGCUUCUACAAGAAUUAUCCAAUAUUAGUGCACAAGUAUUGUUGCUCUGUAGGAGGCCUCUUGAUGUAGCCUAGUCGGUUAUAAAUUGCUAUGAAGAUUAACCCAAUUUUAAGUCAUAAAAGAUCAGCUCCUUGUAGUGCUAUACUUUUCUUUUCAGCAUUUGAGGAAUUAAAUUGGCAGACAUAUCUUUUCAAUAUAUUUCUCAGGCAGUUGAUAAAGUUGGGUUAUUUCUUUUGUGUUAGAAUCAAUGUUGCUCUGGCGCUUCAAAAUAUGUGAUACAUGUAGAGGGUUAUGGAUUGUGAGCUAUCAAUGGGAGCAUCCAUCAAAGAAAAGAGGAACACAUUCCUAGUAUACAGGAAGUUCCACAGUAUACUUUCUUAAUUUGUUCCUCUUUUGAAUGAUAUCUCAAAACAAGCAAAGCACUCACAUUGCAUAUGCUAUGUUGUUUUAACAAAUCAUUUACCCAAGCUAUGAAAAAAAAAAACAAAAGGAAAAUCGGAUGCUUUGAUAAUUUAGCCAUGUCUUUAUAUUUGAGGAUUAGAUGAAUUGAUACCUAAACACAUUGGAGAUUGAUCAAACUUAUGUAUCUAAUUGAGAAACUUAUUGGUGUUAGAAUUAUAUAAUCUUAUUGUGAACCUUUUAUAUCAUUGCCUUCUAACUAGAUAACUUCAUCCUCUUAGUUAUUUAAUAUUUUAUAAAUAUGAAUUCUUUAAAAGAAUUUGAAGACUGUAGCAUGUAACAGCAUGAUUGAGAAUGAAAAUUUCAGCAAAAGGAAGAAAAUGUUUAUUUAAAGUUAAGUCGCUUGUUGUCAUGAUUUUAACUCAAGGCAUUAGCUUUGGUAUGUGCCUUUGCAAUUAAUUAUAAUUAAGGUAUUGUUUUUAGGCCGAUAACAUUAAAAUGCCAUGAUAACCUUAAAAUGUGCAUAUAUCAAAUAGGUAAAACUUAUACCAAUUUAAUUGAACUUGCAUUUGCUUUCAGUUUCUAAAUUUACUGAUCCAGACUCAUGAAGAUUGCAGGAAAAUGGUUGAGGUCAAGUCAUUCAGAGAAAAAAGUGGAGCCUGAGGCAUCUUUUGAAAUUUUGACCAACCCAGCGUGGGUGGUUCCUGCUGAGGAGAAGUUCAUUAAAUUUCUGGAAGAAAGCAGAUAUGUCCCAGGGGAAAAACUCAUAAAGAAAGAAAAAAAUGUGCAUUUGUGUUGAGCUAGUACAACAUGAAUAGAUUUUGUAACUCUUUUGUAUUAGUGAACUAUGUUUUGUUCUUCACUUACCUUACCACCCUCUCCCCCACAUUUCUCAGAAGCAAAAUAAUGUUCUCAAAUCUCUCCCUCAUUGUAACUGUGUAAAUGUGGAUCUAAUUGAAAUCAGUCUUGUUUGUUUCAAUCCAGUAGCUUGAUUUUUCUUCCUGUCUUUCAUGAUGGGUUAUGAUGUUGAAUGAUGCUCAUAUGAUAGAGUGUGAAGCAAAUCCUUUUGUGUGCACAAUUGGGGAUAGAUAGUUUUCAUUGAAAACAAAUCUCUACUCUCGAGUGCUUUAAACUUUUUCAUUUCUUUCACUUUGCUGAGAAAUUACUGUUUGGGAUUCACUUGGUUGUGUGUGUGUCUGUUUGGAGAACUGAACAUUGGGUACCUCUCUGCAAAGAUGCUCUGAAACAAUUGGAAGACAAUAGCUUUAGAUAAUCUUUUUGGUUUCCAAUCACACAUCACCACAAGAACAGAAUCUCAGAUAAGAGAUGAUGAACUUUUGAGCAAUUUUUUAUUUUGUUCUGGCCAAUAGGAAUAUCUCUGAUGGUAUUGAUAGGGAAAAAAAAUAGAUACAUUUUCCAUAGAUAUAGUUGUUAGCUUUAUAUUUCAAAUAAAACAGAUUCCAAAGCUUAUGAUAUGUCUAAAAUUUGAGUUGCUAUUGAUAUUAAAUGGAACUAGUCAUACCAUUCAUAUUUUGUUUCAAAUUAACUAUUGCUAAGAAGAAUUUCCUGAAUACACAAUCCAAGCAAUGGGGAAAUAUUUCUUUAAAUUGUCUCUUAUCAUUCCAUAUAUAUUCUGAAGGAACGUUGUGAGUUGCUGUUUAAAAAGAAAAGCUGCAUAUUUGGCUUCAACUUGUCUCAAGUCAUCCAGUCCACCAAGCACCCGACCAUUAAGAAAUGAGAACCCAGCACUUUGUGGAGAUGCACGAAGCCCCUAAAAAUGUAAGGCAGCAAAUGAGAAAAUAGAAACAUAAACAAAAAAGGAAGCUAUAUUAAAUGUCCUGGUUGGUGCCCAAGAUAAAACAAAUCCCAUUUCUUAGUUGAUACAUCCUCCCAAAUAAAGAAACUGAUGUUGAUCUCCUAUUAAUUUUCAAUCAUUCUUUAAGGGCCCGUGUUUCUCUUGCAGCCUAAAAAACAUAGACAAAGAAUCAACACUAACCUUCAUUCCUCACUCACAACGAGUUUCAUGACAAAUGUGCUCAAAUAAUAAAUUAAUAUUAAGAAAAGUAAACUUUCAGCUAUACUCAUCCCUAUACAUACCUUUUCAAUUAUAAAAUUGAUAUCACUUACCCCAAACAAAUUUUAUUCCCUAUGCAUAUAUUACCUGAUAGAAAUCCUUUGAUAUUUCUAUUUUUGUUUUAGGACUUUAUUGUUAGUGUGCUAUAUUGUUAGUAUAAUUGGUAUUUCUAUUCAAAAUCAUAUUACGAUAUUUAUGAAAUAGUAUAAUUGGUUCUAUUCAAAAGAAGAAAAUGAAAAUAAGAAUAUUUUGCUCUGGUGAAAAUGGUUACCUUAUUCAAAUUAUAAUUUCAUAUCGUUUAGUCAAGAAUAAAAGUCAUCACUUGCAAAAACGGAAAAUAUUUUCUAUGGGUAAAAAGACUAUCUUAUCCUCUGGAAGUACUUUUGAGAUAUUAAGAUUUAAACUCAUCAUAUGGGGAGGAAAGAUAAGCCAAAAAAAAUUUAAAUAUUAAAUUUAAUUUAACUAAUUGAUAAAAUAAAAAUAUAUAACUCAUUUAAAGGAUCUUAUUUUAAUUUUACCUUAAUUUAAUAUCAUACUGAAUUAUUCAUAUAAAAGAAAUUUGAAGAAUAAAAAUGCAAAUUAAAAGUUUUUAGUUCCUAAAAACCACUUAUUAUGUUUUACCUUAAAUGAAAAAAAAAUCCCAUCUACUUAACAAAUUAAAUGGGUUUUGAUCAAAAUUAAGUGAUAAGUAGUAUAAAAUUUAUGUCAUAAGAUAAAAUUCAUGUUAUCAAACAUUAUUAUAAAAUGAAAUCUAUGGAUUUUUCAAUUUUUAAUAAGUAAUUGUUUUAUUAAAUACCCUCUUAAUUAAUAUUUUAUAUGACGUUAAAAAUAUUUGUGGGCAAUAUGUAUUCAAGAAAAGAAUGAUAUGCAACUAUUGUUUAAAUUAUAUAAUGUAGUUGAACGAUCUUCAAUGCACAGUCAUAAUAGGAAAAAAUAUUAAAAAAAUUUAGCACCUAAGGGCCCUUAAGGUAGUACCUAAGGAACAGUAGUAAAAAACCAUUGGUGGACCACAUGAGGACUCAAGAGAAGCACAUAAUGGCAUGGUCUAAGGGUCACAAAGGAAGACCCGAGGCUUGGGAGAGGUUGAGUUCAAGUUUAGCUAAGGUAGUACCUAGGGUCCCUUAAAGUAGUACCUCAAGGCCACUAAGGUAGUACCUCAAGGCCAUUAAGGUAGUACCUAAGGAACAGUAGCAAAAAACCAUUGGUGGACCAUAUGAGGACUCAAGAGAAGCACAUAAUGGCAUGGUCUAAGGGUCACAAAGGAAGACCCGAGGCUUGGGAGAGGUUGGGUUCAAGUUUAGCUAAGGUAGUACCUCAAGGCCAUUAAGGUAGUACCUAAGGAACAGUUGCAAAAAACCAUUGGUGGACCACUUGAGGACUCAAGAGAAGCAGAUAAUGGCAUGGUCUAAGGGUCACAAAGGAAGACCCAAGGCUUGGGAGAGGUUGAGUUCAAGUUUGGCUAAGGUAGUACCUAGGAUCCCUUAAGGUAGUACCUCAAGGCCACUAAGGUAGUACCUCAAGGCCAUUAAGGUAGUACCUAAGGAACAGUAGCAAAAAACCAUUGGUGGAUCACAUGAGGACUCAAGAGAAGCACAUAAUGGCAUGGUCUAAGGGUCACAAAGGAAGACCCGAGGCUUGGGAGAGGUUUAGUUCAAAUGUAGCUAAGGUAGUACCUAGGAUCCCUUAAGGUAGUACCUCAAGGCCACUAAGGUAGUAUCUCAAGGCCAUUAAGGUAGUACUUAAGAAACAAUAGCAAAAAACCAUUGGUGGAUCACUUGAGGACUCAAGAGAAGCACAUAAUGGCAUGGUCUAAGGGUCACAAAGGAAGACCCGAGGCUUGGGAGAGGUUGAGUUCAAGUUUAGCUAAGGUAGUACCUAGGGUCCCUUAAGGUAGUACCUCAAGGCCACUAAGGUAGUACCUCAAGGCCAUUAAGGUAGUACCUAAAGGCCAUUAAGGUAGAACCUAUGGUACAGUCCCUAAGAAGCGAUACUACUUCCCAAAAUUAGCUUUUGAAAUAUUAUUAUUGUGCCAAAACUUGAGGUGGGUCAUUGGAUGAAUGGUUCUGUAAUUGAGAAGUGCUCACCAAAAUCAUCAAAUCAAUUUCAGCCCCAUAUGUAAAAGUGAGGCUUUAUUUAUCUACUUUCCCAAAAAGACACGGAAAUGUUCAUGUUGUGCCAAAACUUGGAAGUGGGCCUUUUGAUGGAUGGUCAUGUAUUAGAGAAAUGGUCAGCAAAAUGAUCUAAUCUAAGACCUUUUUUUCCCAAAAAUACAGUCAGAAGUUUACAUGGGUCAUUUCAUCAGUAGCCAUAUAGUUAAGAAAUGCUCACCAAAUCAUUAAUCAGAUUCAAACCCAUGUGUAAAAAUGAGACAUUCUCCCAAAAACACAUUCUCAAAUUUACUUGUUAUGCCAAAACUUCACCUAUGUCAUAGGAAGAAUGGGCUAAAAAUACAAAAAUGUUCAUCAAAAUCCUCAAACCCACACCCAAAAGAUAGAAUUUUCCCUCAAAAUUUGAACUGGGAUAUUAGAUGAAUGGUGACCAAAAUUAUCAACCGAAUUCGUACCCAUGUGUAAAAAUGAGAUAUUUUACCAAAACAGAUCCGAAAAUGUACUUGUAGUGCCAACAAAAAUCGAAAGUGGGUCAUUUGGAUAUGAAUGGUCAGCAAAAUGCUAUAAAAAUUUCACAUCUCAGUAAACUUCAGAAGGAGUUGAAUUCUGAAAUAGAUCCCAUAGCACAGAACCAUAUGGGACUGCAAGCCCUGGUUAAUCUAAUUCCACGUAUUACUACUAUGUCCUCUACCUUUAUGAGCUAUUUCUAUUCAUAUUCAGAGUGAGUGUACAAGGUGAUCAGUGAGGAGGGAAAACUCAGUAAUAUGGGGUGAACAGACGAUGCUUUUCAUACAUGGUUAGGUCAGAUCCAAAUCCAUAUGUAAAAUGACAGCCCUUUGCCCAAAAAUCAAACAAACACCUAAGGUAAAACCCACUGAACGGAGAACCACAUACCUCAUGCCAUGUUUCCUCUGAUCGGGUUCUUUUCGGUUUAGAUUUGAGUGCUGAUUACAUGGCCAAUUUUGGAGACCCGUGGCUGCUUACAUGGAGACCAUGGUGGCUGUUGACAAGGAGAACAAAAGGGCAAUUUUGGAAUAACUUUUCCAAACAGUAAUUAGUGCACAAAAAAAAAUAUAUAUUCUAAUCAUUAAUGGACAAAGCCCGUAUUCCAGGUUCUAUGGGUUUCAUUCCCAUAUAACCUUCAAAUGGGCCUCCUAAAACACAACUUCCCCCUUAAUUUAUCAAUAUAUGACGAGAAAGGUCCAGUCCUACAAAUUUUCUACCGUACACUAAAAAUUCUUUCUCAAUAUAGGCCCACAAAUUUUCUGAUUUCCCAGUAGAAAUAUAGGAUAUUUUUAAGCACCACAACCUUAGUGAUAGCAUUUAAGAUCUACAAUUUUUUUGGUACACUUAAAAUGAUUCUAACAUCAUUUCAAGUGCUGAAAGAAGCAACGAACUUAUUCUAUAUUAUAAAUAAUUGAAUUUAUUCCCAACAUGUUUCUCCACAAACAAGUUCUUACUUUUUACAAUUCCAACACAUAAAUUUAACACAACCAAAACAUCAUCCAUUUCGACAAAACCCUUAUUAGAAUGAACCAUCAAAUCUUAAUUUACAAACCCAUCUCAACAAUUAGAUCCAUCCAAGAAAACAGAGAAGUAUAAUUUUCACAUAACAUCCAAAGAUGAAAUAGAUAUCUACAAUUGAAUUUAAUACGAGCAAACAAAUAAUAAAAAAAUUAAAAGAAAUAAUACAAAACCUGUAGGAACAAGAGGAACAGAAAUUAAUAUUGACGGUGUUGCCGAAGCCAAUACCUCAAAUACCACUCUCUUUCUGCAAUUCAAAAAAGCAAUCGAAAAUUAAUCAAACACCCACUUACAUAAAUACGGAGAAUAGAAAAACGGGUAUCAAGGAGAACAGACCUGUGUGGGGAAAUCUAAAGAAGCCGAUUGGGGUUUGGGUUGGGGUUGCUGGUGGUGAUGACGAUGAUGGUGAUGAUGCGGCGGUGGCUUUGGAGGCAAUGGCGUGAAGAGAUUUAUGAUGUAUGAGAAGAAGAGAAACAGAGGUAACCCUACCAGAAGAAACUGAGCUUGAUCCAUUGGAAAAGAAGGCUGGGUGAUUGAGCGAGUGAGACUCUGUUUUGUAGGCCUUCUGAUGUGGACUCUGAAGUGGCUGAAGAGAGAGGGCAAUUUCGGAAUGAAAUAACACCUCACAGCAGAGUGCAUGAAAUCCCUAAUUUUUUUGUCAUCAGUGUACAUAUUUUUUUUUGUGGAAAGUUGGGUUUCGAAAAUGUUAUUAUUUUGGGAUGGGCAGCCCAAAGCAUAACUUUCCCAAGGUAGAAUAAGUAGGCCCAUUGUUUAUAGGGUAGAAUAAGUAGGCUCAUUUUUUAUAGGGUAGAAUAAGGAGGCCCAUUUUCCAGAUGACAGGCCCAGAAGGCUAUUAGCAAAUGUGUCAUGCACACCAAUUCUUCAGUUCCACUUUGUGGGACUCAGUUUAAGUUGCGUAACUGAAGGAAAUCAAUUCUCAUCAUGUUUGGAAUGCUGGAAUAGGGAAUGGGAAUUCAAUUCAUUACGACGGAAAUCAAAUCCCACUCUUGUUAAGAUGAUUUUGGUUCCUCUAUUCUACGUCAUUUCUAUCCUAUUUUCAUUCAUAUUCUCAUUCUCAUCCACCAAAGCAAAGGCAGGGGCAGAGUUGUGGAGUUGAAGGUUUAGAUUAUCACCCACUGGCCUAAACACACGAUAGCAAUAGCCUCAUUACCACCAACUUACACUAAUAAUAAUACUCCACCACCUAGCCUAUGUCAUCUCAUUUUUACGAGUUUAGGGUCUAAAUGGCCCAUUUUUGAAAAAAAUUGUAACAUCUAACCCAUUUUUUAAACUUAUGUUCAAAUUGGCCUCUUUGAUGCCACAUAGCGCCACAUCAUUAAAAAAAAAAAAAAAUUUCAUCAUUAUAGUGAAAGCCCCAAUUGGGAAAUGCGACUUCAUUUUUAUACUAAAACCGCAGUUGGGAAACGCGGCUUUAUAUUUGUACUAAAGCCGCAGUUGGCAAACGCGGCUUCAUUUUUGUAUUAAAGCCGCAGUUGUCAAACGAGGCUUCAUUUUUGUACUAAAGCCACGGUUGGCAACUACGGCUUUAGUUAAUUUUUAUUUAAAUUUAAAAUUUAAUGAAAAAUUAUUAAAUUACAAUUUAUGAAUAAAAUUUAAAAAUAUACUUAAAUAAUAAAUUAUUUAUAUUUAUAUUUAAAAUUCUAAAAUUACUUCAACAAACAUAAAUUGAUAAAUAGAAGAUAUUAUAAAUGAAUAUUUUAUUUAUUAAUAAAUUAAUAAUCUUAAAAUAAUAAACUUAUAUAACAUAUAAAUAAUAUAUAAAAUUGUAUAAUUUAUUAAUUUAAGAUAUUUAAUUUGUUAAUUUUUAAAAUAUUAAUUUAUUUGUAUUAUGAUAAAUUUAUCUUUAUCGAAAUAAUAGUAUAGCAGUUGAUAACUGAGAUUUCAAUUAUAAUAUUUUUUUUUUAGUUUCAAAUUUAAUUAUAAACUAUUAAAUUACAAUUUAUGAUUGAAAUUUAAAAAAUAUAUUUAAAUAAUAAAUUAUUUAUAUUUAAACUUAAAAAUCUAAUAUUAUUUCAAUAAAUGUAAAUUAAUAAAUAGAAGAUAUUAUAAAUGAACGUUUUUUUAUUAAUAAAUUAAUAAUCUUAAAAUAAUAAAUCAAAUAUUCAUUUAUAAUAUCUUCUAUUUAUUAAUUUAUGUUUGUUGAAGUAAUACUACAUUCUUAAGUUUAAAUAUAAAUAAUUUAUUAUUUAAGUAUAUAUUUUUAAUUUCAAUAAUAAAUUGUAAUUUAAUAGUUUUUAAUUAAAUUUGAAAGUAAAAAAAAAUUAUAUUUGAAAUCUCAAACUUAAAAGUAUACUAUUAUUUCGAUAAAAAUAAAUUUAUCAUUAUACAAAUAAAUUAAUAUCUUAAAAAACAACAAAUUAAAUAUCAUAAAUUAAUAAAUUAUAUAAUUUUAUAUAUUAUUUAUAUGUUAUAUAAGUUUAUUAUUUUAAGAUUAUUAAUUUAUUAAUAAAUAAAACUUUCAUUUAUAAUAUCUUCUAUUUAUUAAUUUAUAUUUGUUGAAGUAAUACUAGAUUUUUAAGUUUAAAUAUAAAUAAUUUAUUAUUUAAGUAUAUUUUUUAAAUUUCAAUCAUAAAUUGUAAUUUAAUAGUUUUUAAUUAAAUUUGAAAGUAAAAAAAAAUAUUAUAAUUGAAAUCUCAGUUUUCAAUUGCUAUACUAUUAUUUCGAUAAAGAUAAAUUUAUCAUAAUACAAAUAAAUUAAUAUUUUAAAAAUUAAAAAAUUAAAAAUCUUAAAUUAAUAAAUUAUACAAUUUUAUAUAUUAUUUAUAUGUUAUAUAAGUUUAUUAUUUUAAGAUUAUUAAUUUAUUAAUAAAUAAAAUAUUCAUUUAUAAUAUUUUUUAUUUAUCAAUUUAUGUUUGUUGAAGUAAUACUAUAAUUUUAAAUUUAAAUAUAAAUAAUUUAUUAUUUAAGUAUAUUUUUAAAUUUCAUUCAUAAAUUGUAAUUUAAUAAUUUUUAAUUAAAUUUUAAAUUUAAAUAAAAAUUAACUAAAGCCGCAGUUGCCAACCGCGGUUUUAGAACAAAAAUGAAAGAUUUAGUACAAAAAUGAAGCCGCGUUUCCCAACUGCGGCUUUCACUAUAAUGACGAAAAUAAAUAUUUUUUAAUGACGUGGCGCCUACAUGGCAUCAAAGAGGCCAAUUUAAACAUAAGUUUAAAAAAUGGGUUAGAUAUUACAAUUUUUUUCAAAAAUGGGUCAUUUUGACCCAAAACUCCAUCUUUACCCACCCUCUCCACUAACCUUACCUUUAGCUCUCCAUCCUUAUCCUAGUUUUAUCCCCUUUCUCAUCUCUCAGCUCUUUCACCUCUCCUCUUCAAUCUACCCCCACCACCCAUAGGCUGCAAUUAUCAUGACACACAAAAUCAAAUAUUGAAAAUGCAUAUUUUUGGAUCAAAAAAUAAAUGCGAGAGAAUCAACCCAAAAAUCUUGAUGAGAAUUAUGAAUAUGAAAGUCAUGAUGGAAGCAUGAGUUUCUUGUAUUGUAACCAAGAAGCUUGACUGGUGACCAGCCCUUACAGAACAGAUGAGGAGAUGAAGAGGGAGCCAGGGGGGCACAGAAAAGAAAGCCCCAUUGGAUUAGAAUAAAGUGGUAGUUGAAUCAAAAAAGGUGACUCUUCUUGAACUAGUUGAGGAUUAUUUAUCUGGAUGAGAAGAAUGAAUCCACUCCCUGCAUUUCAAAUUUCAUUCUCAACUUCCACUAUGUGCUCAAAUAAAGGAAAACACGCUACCAAGAGAAAUCUUGAGCAUAAUAAGCUGUCAACGAAGAACGAGAGCGACAUUAAUAGAAUCUUGGUUCUGCUAAAACCCAAAACCAAAUCUCACAAUGCUUACUUCUCUUGUUUCCCCUUUUAUAUGUGGGCACUCAAGCAACAAUUUAGAGCAGUAGCCAGUAAAUAAACAUGGAUAUCUAUGGACUUGCUGAAAUAUAAAACACUAUAGGAUUAUAUGGUUUUAUCCUGACCAUCAUACACACCCACUAAUUGAUUAAAGACUAUUGACUCAACUUUGGAGCUUGGCAUGGGAUGGUAUAGCUCAAGCCUUUAAUUGUAGACAAGAUAUGGUUCCCAGAAUGUAAACAUUGGUUUUUGAUGAAGGUAUAAUGAGCUUUGAGACCAUCCCCAUUUAGAUCAAUUAUCAAACUUCACUAAUUCACAAAUUUUUCAAACAAAAUUAGAUGGAGAAAGCUACUGCUAGGUGUGAGUGCUUCAACAUGGUUCCUCUGUCAAAUGGAUCUUUCAGAGGUGGGUUCUUUUCUUUUUCUUUCCUUUCCUUCUAUUUUUUUGGGUGGUGUGGGGGGCAGGGAGAUGUUGAGGGGCAACAAAGGGUUGACAACAACUGAGGCUGUCUCCUUCAGAUGGAAGAAUAUUCUGUCACUUUGAAAAGUAGUUUUGUCCCAUCUGCUAGCCAUAGCCAGAACAGAACAGAAAACAUCCCAACCAACCUGAUAAAAGGUGGUAUUUAUCCUAGGUUGCUUUACAACCUUUGCAAAUGCUAGUUGCAUUUCCAGAGCGAGCUAAGAGCAUUCCUUGGAAGUUGGAGAUGCCAAACCUUGCACUUGGAGGGAGAGGCCUCAUGCAGCUUAUUAGUGUCCAAAAUAUGUAACCUGCAGUAGCUCCCUAAGUAUUUGCUACAACUAGCAUGGUCCUUUCAUUGUAUUGUUGCCCUCAAAAUGCAACCCAAACACUAGACAACAAAGGUGCUCUAAUAAUCCUUAAUAAAAUCCAAUACUGAAAUUUAUUGAGGGAAACCCUUGGCAUAUGAUCAAACUUCUCAGGAGUGCCUGAAGCCCAGUAGGUUUUAUGAUGUUCUUGGCAGUGCAAGUGAGCAUGCAAUAGGUGUGCUGAGUUAUGGCUUUAUUGAAGCCACUACCAUCACUGGGUGAUUCUCGCCAACUGGAGAGAUACCAACAUGAUUUCAUUUUGGAUAUCCUUGUCUUGCCACAAAGCAGUAGCUGAGAAGAAUAAAUUCACAUGGUUCUGGUCCAUGUUUCACAUAAAAAACCUAGACACAAAAUUUGAAAUUAAAUAAAGCAUUCCUGAUUGCCAGCCCCCUUCCAAUAAAUUUCCUGCAAUCUGCUCAGCCACUCACACCCACAAGCUCUGGCUUGGUUAAAAGCAGUCUACCUCGAGAUGUUUAUUGGCCACUCAAAACUCAUCCAAUGUUCUUACACAUAAAUAAAGGCUAGCGUUUUAAAUUGUCUGAAGCUUCACACUAGAAACUAUACCAAUGGCUUCCGGAGCCUUAUAUUUCUAGUUUUCAUAUGGGAGAUUAAGAUUACUGAUCGAUUUUUACCAUGUCUACUGGCAAAGUUUUGGUACCACUUGUGAAUACAAAUACAAACUGGAAUGGACCUCCCUAUGGCACAAAGAGCACAGAUUCACAAUGUUAUGGGCCAUAGAGAUCAAAAUUUUCUUGCAGCCAGUCAAUUUAGAUAAAUACAAGACCUUAUAAUAACAAUCACAGAUCAUACAGUGGCAAAGCCACAUCCAGGAUCUCUUUUGCUCCUAUAUGGGACCAUAAGGCAAGUGCAGACUGGUUUUCUGUAAUCCACACAUCUGCCAUUACUUGUUUAUAACCAAAAGUCUUGCUGGUCUCCAUGAUUAGGAACAUUGAAUUUUUCCCUUCUUUAGCAUGUUGGAGAAGCAUCCAACAAAAGAAUAUAAUGAUCACACAUGAUAACCAAAUCAUCCACCACUUACUACGCAUUCUGAAGAAAGAAUGUUCUUGGCACGUCAUCUUUUCAUACAUGCAUAAAGUCAAUUGAAAUUGUCUGCCUUAAGGGUGAUGAUUUGCUCACAUGCUUCUUGUAGGGGUCUCAAAGGUCAGAGGUAUACAGCACCAAGUUGCUAUUCUUUAUUGUAACAAAACCACCCAAAUCAUAGCUUCCACAUGGAAAGAAUUAGGCUCAUGGUGGGCAUCAUCUGCUCCUAUAGUGAUUGUCAGUUUCAAACUUUUGUUACAAGUGCUUUAGGCAUCAACAGAUUAAGCACUGCAUUCCUGGGUUAUUGUUGUCAUUUCGUUGGUUCUUUCUCAGGGUAUUUUCACAAGCACCUCCUGUAAUUCAAUUUUACAUGUAAAAAAUGCACUUAGGACUCUCGAAAAAAAGAUGACAACGUUUAGUUUCUGGGUGAUGCAGAAGUGUAAUCCCAACUACUUUAAAUUGUCAAAUAUAUUUGCACUCCUAAACAAAACACCUACAAGGAAGGAUGAGUUCCUCUCUUAGCAGUAAUAUAUCUGUUAGUAACUAUUGUAAAAAGUUAGAAGCAGGUCCUUUUUUUUGCUCUUUUUCUUUUUUCAACUUAAUCCCGCCAUCUCAUAAGGUGAUGCUGAUAGCAAUGGAGCACAAGUGCAGUAUUCACUAGAAUUACUUAUGAUGUUUUAUAUUUUGUAUUCUCUUCUGGAGAAUGCAAAAAGUGAUUGAGCAUUUAAUCCACCAGAAUAUUUCUUUAGCCUCUAAAAUGUCCAUUUCUAACAUCUAUCAAAAGUGGUUGGGCACGCAUUAAUUUAGGAAUCAUUUCUACAAUGAUAUCGAUUGAAGACAUAAAGUACACGUCCCCAUACCUUGUUAUGAAACACAAAACAGCAUUGUUGUAAACCUGAAAAAUGGAAAAGUUCUAAAUAUAAGGUGAAGAAAAUCCAAAUAGAAGCCACAGAGAACAUUUUUAAUUAACUAUAAUGAUUCCAUCAAGAAAGCUUAGAAGAGAAGAUGGAGACAAGAAGAUUUUAAGAAGAAACUCAAUUGGUGAGCAAAGGAAUAAUCUCCCUAGCAAAGACUAUUUUCUUGCACUAAGGCAACCUACAUUCCCAUUGCCACCCUCACAUCAGUCACUGAGAUGCUCAUAGAUGAUUGAUAUUUCUCUUUGAAACUUUUUUACAACCACUAUUCUCUCAUAUCUGUUGAAGAUGUUGAAGUUCUUUGUAUCGAAGAUAAGAUUUAUCAAAAUCAUGAUGCUACACAUGGCAAGAAAACAGCAGAAUCAUUCAAUAAAACAAAAAAUAGGCAAUUCACUUUCAUGUUGUGUGUACACCUCAUGUACGGAUAUGCUGUGACAGUAUAUAUCUACUAUCCAUAAGACAUAGCUACCACAUAUUUCUGCAUAUGUAUAUUAAAUUGAGAGUGAGAAGGAAGCAAAGGAAUAUAAAGAGAUGGGUGUGACUGAGAAUCAGUUAAAAGAACCCAAAGCAACUUGCAUUGAUUUGGAUAAAAUAUAAAAAGAAAUAGUGUUAGUCUGGAUAUUCAAACCCCAAAUGCAUCUUUCUUUAUAGGUGGGAAAAAGGAGAAAAGCUUUUUACAAGCACAGCUUCUCGAAAAAUAUAUUCUUGGGGGAGGGAUUUGGAUCCAGCCAAAAGAGAUGAGGCAUAUCAUUGUUGGGCUUAGGUUCUUAUUCCUCAAUCAUUUGAAGUUCCUGCAUUGUGAAGAUCAAAUCAAAUUAAAGAAGAAAAAAUAUCAUCUACUAAUCAGAACACUUAAGCUAAGGAAUCUUUGUUUAGUUUAGUAAACAUAUACAACAUUGUUUUUGUUCAGGUUCACAUUCGAAAGGCAAUGUAAGGGAUAAAGAUGCACAAAGCAUGUAAGAAUAAAGAUAGAUUGGAGGGAAAGGAGAGUCGAGAGGUUAAUAAAUACCAUGACAACCAAUGGUUGAGCUUGUGAAUGUAGAUAAAAUAAAGAGAAAAUUAAUAUUUAUGUAAUUUAACAAUGUGGAAGUCUAGGAUACCCAUUGACAAGCUGUACUAGAUGAUUCCCAAGAAAAGUUCUUGGUCAUGCAUGCAAUUUGAUCUCACCCAAGAUAUCUCCACCACAAUUUAGAUUGGAUUACAUGACCACCUGUGCCCCCUCUCCCACUAAUCAAGGUCUCCUGGUAAAUUAAAUUUGGUAUUCAUAUUUAAUAAACCCAAUUCUAAAAUAAAUGAUUAGUAGCACAGUACUUCCUCAUUCUUUAGUCAUAAUCUACCAAAGAACAGUGGGAGAUCUUGAGAGAAGUACCUCCAACGUCCUCGUCAGGCAUCAAGGAAGAAUUGUCCAAACUUUGUGCCAAAAACCCAAUGCAUAAGUUUGCUACUAUUCAAUACCCUAUGGUAACAAUUUGACUGCAAACAAAUCUUAGAAAGGUCGCUCCUUUUCACCUACCUAAUACAAAGGCAUGAAUUAAUACUACUUAAACAAAAUCUGUAAUAUAUAAAUUAUUCCACUCUUGAACUGAGAUAAGCAAUGAAUUAUAAAAUAAUAACACACAAAUAUUUGAUCCACAACCAUUGCCCUGUUAAUAUUGAAAGUUUCAUUGAAUUGAGAUUGGCAAGUGCAGCUAAUAAGAAACAUUUUAUCCACAACCUAAGAGCACCUCAUAUCUGAUCCACCCUUUGCAAAAAGCCUCCUCUAUCACUUAGACCACCCCUGUCAAUAUCAGGAGGGUGAUAUUUUAUUCUGAUAAUAUCAGUCAGAAGGGUGAUACUUUUUCUCCGCCAAUAACAAUGUCAAAUUAUUUCAUAGGAAAAGGGUCCCUUGAUUUUUUUAAUCUUCCUAGCUUAUUAGUGGUCAAUAGCCGAACAUUUCCACCCACAUGACCGUUAAUCCUGCUAAUAAAAUUCCAAAAACUAAUAUUCUCAUCUACAACCCUUGCCCUGUUAGUUUCAAAUGGUUCAGUAUUAAAUUCAACAGGGUCCAAAUCACUUAACCAAGUUGAUUACAGCACAAUCCAAAAUAUAUGUAUAGCUGCAAGCCCUCAAAUAUAAACUUACGCACAAGAAAGAUGUAAUAGACAAACUUAUAAUAUUGCUUUCAUAUAUAAGCAAAAAAAGCCAUGUACAAUGCAUGGAUCUCCAUUCCUAGAUAUAAAACUACAGAACCAAAUCUCGCACCUAACCAGAGCCAAGCACUUUCAUUACACAACCACGACCUUUCAAGCCAACAACGGUACUGUUCUUAUAACAAGGAUAUUAAAACGCUAAGGAAAACCAUAGUAAGUAAUCUGUUUGACCUCACCAUACAAGGCUUCCAAAAUCAUGGAUGAGAUCACACCCAAAUCAUUGUCAAACCCCAUCAUCAAUUCAUAUUUCAAGAGAACCUAGGAACAGCCUUGCAAACCAAGGACUGUUUCAUCUCCAUUGAGAGCUUGAGGCACUCAGACAAGUCCACACCAGAGUCACAAGCAACCCAUUUGAAGUUUUGGAGCAAUUGAGCCAACCACAGUUGCACAGUUGCUAAACCCAUUGCUUUCCCAGGACAAACCCUUCUUCCAGAGCCAAAUGGUGCCAACCUAAGAUCAGAACCCAAAAUGCUCACAUCCUCCUCCAUAAAGCGACUUGGCUUGAAUUCCUUAGGCUCAUCCCACACAGCAUCAUCAUGGGUUAUUGCCCACAUAUUCACCAUAGCUGUGGUGCCUGCAGGGAUGAAGUGCGAACCAAUGUGGGUAUCAUGAAUGGAAAGGCGUGCCCAGGAAAGGAGCGGGCCAGGUGGAUGCAUGCGGAGAGUUUCCUUUACUAUGGCAUGGAGAUAAGGGAGUUUAUGAAUGUCUGAAUCAGACACCAGUCGGGUGGCUCCAACCACUGCAUCUAUUUCAGAUUGGGCUUUGGAUUGAAUAUCGGGGUGUAAAACCAUUCUUGCAAGAAUCCACUCCAACAGAAUUGCCACCGUGUCAGUCCCUCUAAAGAUCAUUUCCUGAGAUUGCAACAUAUUUCCAAUUACACAAACGUGUGAAGAUUAAAUAAAACACGAUGAUAAUAAAGAAAAAGUCAAGGAAAAGAAAUGCAUCACCAUGACAAAGCAUAAAUUGUAAAGCAUAAGAAACAAAGACAGGAAAGAAAGAAAAGAAAGAAAAUGAAUCUUAUCACGGUGAAAAGAGAAACUAUUCAGAUUCUCAAUAUCUAUGGAUGCCCAAAAAAACAAACUUAAAGAAAAGACCUGGCUAUUUCAAGCAUCAAUGUAACAGUAACAAAGAGGGAAAAUGCAUAAAAAGGCUAAAAACUAAAACAUGAAAAACCUAGUGAAUGCAACCACAAAAAAAAGGUCUAAUGAGAAAAAAAAACCUUUGUCAAGAUGUGCUGGGGAAGCACACCAAGAACAGAAAAUGAACAUAUUUCUACAGUAGGUGAUGAACCUGACAAUAGAAUGUUUGAAGGCGCUUACCCAUAAAACAGCAAUCAUAUCAGAGUCGCUGAGCCUGCUUUCCUUUUCCAAAUCGAGUAAGACGUCAACAAAAUCGCCUGAACUGUCAUCACCAUCACGACCCACUUCUCCAUCACCAACCCUCCUGAGCCUGUGCUCAUCUAUGAUCCUGGAAACAAAAACGUUCACCUUCGAAACCAACUUUUUGCAUCUCUUUCUCACUCCUUGCAAGUCCAACCACCCGAGAAGCGGUAAGUGGUCACUCCAGUUGAAUAUACCAAGCAGUUCGUACCCUUCACUCACCAGGCUCUCAAGCUCAACCGCAUCACCAGAAACACCUUUUCCAAAGUCGUAGCUCCUUCCAAACACGCUCAUCAUCACAUUGUUCAAAGACCCAAAAUGCAACACUUUCUUCACCUUCACCUCACCUUUCUUCUCCAUCAAAACCCUAAUCUCAUCCACCAUUUUCAACCCAAUAGUCCUCCGAAACUCCCCGAAACCAGCGAUUCUCCUCGGACUGAACAAAUGGGUGGCCGAAAUCCUCCUCAGAUUUCUCCAGUACACCCCGAACGGAGCAAAACCCAUUGCUCGGUGGAAUAAAAGCUCAUAAGCCGACUCCUUCACUGGUCGGUCCGCGAACGCCGAACUGUUCAGAAUCUCCUUGGCUGUUUCCGGUUGGCUGGAGAUAAUGAAACGAGUAAAGCCAACCGAAAAAGCCAUCAAUGGCGCAGCUUCAGAAACACGAGCCAGCUUGGCCAGAACCCUAUGAGUCAGAGAGCCAGUGAAGGCGAAAACAAGACCUAUCAGAGGUAACCCAGAAGGGCCAGGAAUGGCGCUACGUGCUUUAGCCUUGGACAUAGCCCAAGCUAAACCACCAGGCACAAGCCAGAAACCAAAGACGCCAACGAACAAAACCACAC